rnacentral:misc_RNA from 1 species
GAUGAAGAACGUAGCGAAAUGCGAUACGUAAUGUGAAUUGCAGAAUUCAGUGAAUCAUCGAAUCUUUGAACGCAUAUUGCGCUCUCUGGUAUUCCGGAGAGCAUGCUUGUUUGAGUAUCAGUAAACACCUCAACUUCCAUAUCUUUUUUGAAAUGGGAGUUGGACUUGAGUGAUCCCAACGCUUUUCCUCACCGAAAAGUGGCGGGUUACUUGAAAUGCAGGUGCAGCUGGACUUUUCUCUGAGCUAUAAGCAUAUCUAUUUAGUCUGCCUAAAAAACAGAUUAUUACCUUUGCUGCAGCUAACAUAAAGGAGAUUAGUUCUUGUGCUGACUGAUGCAGGAUUCACAAAGAAAGCUUCGGCCGACUUUGUAAACUCGAUCUCAAAUCAAGUAAGACUACCCGCUGAACUUAAGCAUAUCAAUAAGCGGAGGA